UUCUACAUCCAGGCCAAUCCGUAGCAUAGUUUAACUACAUCCAAGAUCACAGCAAAAGAACAUCCAUCCAAAUGAAUUGUCCACAACUAGUCCUGGACAACAUUUCAUGCAUCCCACAAAAUAACAUUCAGAGUUCUCAUACACCACAAAAUGCAACCAGAAGCUUCCUUCUUCCAUUCUUGUGUCAUUUCUUCACUGGACAGCAACCUUGCGACCACAUACGAUGCUCCAAAUGCUUCUACAAAUGCCAAAAUGAUGGUGUAUUAAGUCAAUCAAUAUUACAAGGUAAAGUGGGCUGAUGCAAUCAUUUGGCAAUUUAUGAAGCUAUGAAUUAUUUGGAUUAAUUUCCACUACAAUGACAUUCCUCGUGGUUGUACGAAUGCUAGAAUCAGCAAUCUGUAGGUAAACUUGCAACGCCUAACCAAAUAUAAUACUAGUAACUUUGAAAAAAAAAAAACUUGCUAGCAUUCCUAACCAGGUCCAAUGAACUUAGAACUGUGUCAGCAAAAAGAAACAGUUAGCACGCCCCAUGCAACUUUCAGCAAACAAAAACCUUGCCAGAAAUGUUUGGGCAUUACCGAAAUGCGAGGAUUACUACAAUACUGAAACAGCUUACCUAUGAACUUACCUAUGAACUUACCUGUCAAUUGUAAAGGCUCGUCAAGUCCUUCAGCUUCGUGCUUUGCUUUCCUCGUCGAGACCUACGGCAGUUCAGCAAACCUCCAUCAUUUCUUUCCUCAACCUCGUUUCCAUCUUGGCUUGGUUGAUCUUUUUCAACUCGGGUAGUUGAAUCUUCUCCAUCAGCUUCACUUGCGCUAUCAUCUCCGCAUUCAUCCUCAUCAUCAAUGUCUAUGUACUCAUCUUCUUCUUCAUCAUCAUCACAAUCAAUGUAGUCAUCCUCAUCUUCUUCCAAUACUCUCUUCCUUUUCGUUCCAUUGCCCUUCCUUCCAAGAUGAGAGGAUUUCUUGCUUGAGUUAAGGCGACGUAUUUCCUCGAACACGGCGCUAGCAGCAUCAGAUCCAUCCAAGAUUACAUGUUCCUCAUCCUCAUUCAACCACUCCAUCAUUGGAUUAGCCUCAUCAAACAUGGUUGUAUUCAUCAUCAUUGCACAUGGAUCAACCUCCUUAUAUUUAUCAUUCUCUCUCACCCGGUCCUUGUCUUCUUCAGCACGUAUCUUCAAAGGUGUGAAAACAAAAUCAGUAAAUAACAGCAACGUAAACAACAAUGUUUUCUAAGAAAAUGGAGGAUCAUGGUCUCAACACACAAGAGAAUUUUAUACCUUCAAGUUGUGGCGAACGGAUACAAACUUGUGCAGCUUGCCAUAUAAUAGACGAUUCCUUUGUUUCGUGUGGACCAAGGCCCAAGCGCUCCAGUUCCUUUCACAUCCACUUGACGACACACAUUGGGAAACAAUUCUCUACUGUCGUCACCUCCACGAGGACGAGGCCCGCCUUCUCUACGAGGCGGACUACCCGACGCCACUGGACAUGCGUGUGUCGGGAUCGUGUCUGCUGAGCACCGAUGAAAUCUCGGUGCCGCCGUCGCCCUCUGGAUCUGACUGGUGGGCGAAGAUCGCACGGAUCCGGUCGUUGCUGCCGGAGAGCUCAAGCAACCUGCUGAGGUACGCCCCCAACAGCAACACUCCGUGGACGGCGUACUUCGAACGCCAGCUCGCCGAGCAGCUCGCCGCCACCAACGGGGUCCAACCACGCGGCCGCCAUAACUCCAAGGGGCACCACCCAUGGCGGGGCAUCCUCGGACGCACAUUGGAUGUUGUCCUCGAGCACAUCAAGGGCGGCAACUCGCCGCGGUUGGAGUACCCACCGCCACCCACCUUCUCUCGUCGCCGUGACAGCUCCUGGACGCCGAGGCGGAUGAAGACAGCGUCGUCCUCCUCGUUCGGCUCCAGCUCCCAUUCCUCCGGGUCGCCGGCGCUCCUCCCGUCAAGCCGGAGCCGCGGGAGAUGCCGUUGGGACGGCGCACGCGCAGCGGCAGCAUUGUCAUCAACGAGCCCCGCGCCUCCUCCCGCCUCAUCAAGUCGAAGACGGAGCCGGGGCACCUCCCCGUCAAGCAGGAGCUCCUGGCCAUGGCUGUCGGCGACGAGACCGCCCUCAAUGGAAGCGGGGCCACUACGUCUGUGAGGAGAUGGAGCACCAGCGUCGAGCCCUUGAGGAGAUCGCCGCCCGGCGCCGCGGUCGCGAGGAGGACAACGUUGUCAUCCUCGACGACAGCGUCAAGGAGGCGUCCGGGCCUUCCAACCCCGUUCGCGACGGCUACCCAGGGCAGGGGCAUAGCAAGGACGACGAUGGAGCACAGGACGACGACGGCAACAACGACGGCGGUGAUUACAUCAAUUUCUACAAGCUUGUCGGCAUAUAGAAGGCGACGGCGUUGGGCGGCAAAGGCGGGUGGCGGUGACGUAGUUUCAUUAUGUUUAUUUAUGUUUUUAUUUCACUUUUGUACAAAUUUCAAUAAAAAACUAUGAAUUUUCUUCAAAUUUGAACCAUUUUUGGUUGAAUUUAGGCCGAGUUUGUUUUUUUUCAAAACCAGUUGGGCCGAUCUUUGGGGGGCGACUGAAAACCGAACGCUCCCAAGCUAAUUUUUUCACCAGCACGCCCUAGAAAACCCCAAGGGCGAACAGCUGGAGCCGCUCUUAGCAUUGGUAGACUAUAAAGUGCAUAUGUCAAUCCGUAUGAAAAAGAUAUAGAUUAAGUUCAGAAGAAAAUCAGUUUGUAUCCACGCACUGUUAUAAUUGCAUGUGUUCCUUGACCAUGAUCAAAUUAAAGCAAUGCAACUUUGAAUAUAUACCAUAAAAAGGUUAUUGAAAUAUUUUCUCUCUCAAUCACUCUGCUCAUAAAUUAUUUGAAAGUGUUUUUGUUUUCACUUAAAUGUCUUACGGUGUACUCCGUACUCAACAUGAGACUUGUUGCUUACAUUCUUUUAGAAAUCAUUAUCUCCCAACGAAAAAAUCCCCCAACCCCUCCCUCGUCGGCCCCUGCCGAUGAUAGGGAGGGAACUCUAACGCGUUGCCCGCCGGGCCCUCCUCUUCCUUCCUCCUCCCUUUGAUGUCGCCAGUGUGCUCUACCGAGCAAAGCUCGGCCGGAGCCGACGGCGGUGGGGCGACCUCUUCUCCCCGCACACGGGGUCGGUGCUGGGCGGAUCCAGCAAGUAGGGCGCGAGGCGGCGGUCGAGGAUUUGUGUGUUAUUUUUCUUUUUCCUGGCGUGGGCAGUCCGUCAUUGAAAUUGAAUAAGGUGGCUCAUUAUUUGUGGGCAUUGGGCUAGUUGUAUACAUGGGUUGUUGCUGGUGGAGCUGUCUCGGCUGCAUUUUUUUCGUGUUUCUUUUAAGAGGAGUAGUAGAGUGGUUUUUGAGAUCGACGACAUAGAGUGGCCGUGAAGAUCAAUCUUUCAUGACGUUCUUUUUUCUUUUAUGAUUUUUUUUUAAUUUUGUUUCUUACUUUCUUUUUAAAUUUGUCUUUUAUUUCCUUAUUUACAAAAUUCAUGAAUAUGAUUUUGUAAAUAUUUUUACAAAUUUCGUGAAGAAUUUUUAAAUUUUUGUGAACGCCUUCUAAAUUUUGUGAAUGUUUUUAUGGGGAAUUGCUAAAUUACAUCUAAAUGAUUUUUAAUUUUGUGUCAUAUAUGUUUCUUACUGUUUGAUUUAGUUUCUACAAUUUCAUGCAAGUGCUGGAUCCCCACUUCACUGGUUGUUGUUCGUUUGUCAUGCAUCCUUUUGUUUGCCUUUUUGCAUUCAUUUUUUAUCGGCCCAUUAUCUUGGCAUGUUUGCAUCAUGUUUCUCUGUUGUUUCUAGACGGCGACGUUGAUUUGGAAGAGAUAAAAAAAAAAGAGCUCUAUNNNNNNNNNNNNNNNNNNNNNNNNNNNNNNNGAUAAAAAAAAAAGAGCUCUAUCGCGGUUGCUACCUUGCCCGUUCAUUUUGGUGUUGUCUUACAUUUCUUCUAAGCUUCAUGAUCAAGAUGCGAUUUAGCAAUGUGUACAAAAGCCGAUGUAUUACCAUGUCUCCCUUUUUCAAUUUUAUUGACUUGUCCUGCAACUCAGGCCUAACCCAUUUGUUUUCCUACGUGCAAGUCCAACCACAUCCCUAACAUGCAAUAAAGGACCCCAUUUUAUUGUUCCAGUUGCAACUCUACCCUCGACACCCAAUUGUUGCCCCGACCAUUUUUUUUUAAAGUUGCAACUCCCCUCUCGAUACGCAGUUAGGGGUCUCACUCAUUUUUGUCCUCGUUCCAAGUCCAUCAAGUCCAUCCUAAACACGCAACUGGAGGCAUGACCUUCUUUUGCCCCAUUUUUCAACUCCACCCCUAACUUGCAUUUUUUUUGUCCCAGAUGCAGGCCCAACCUCGAUAUGCCAGGCGGACCAACCCGUUUUUCUCCCAAUUGCAUGUCGAUCCUCAACACGCAACUGGUGUUUUGACUUAUUGUUUCAGUUGUAACUCCAUCCCAGUAUGCAACUACAGAGCCAACCAUUUUUUCUUGAGUUAAAAGUCCACCCCCGAUACACAACUGAGCAUGUACUAUUUUUAUCCUAGUUGCAAGUCGAACAAUGACUCGCAACUAGGCUCGUAGUUUUCAUAGUUUUUCAGUUGCAAGUUCACCUUUGACUCGCACCUAGGCAUGUAUUUUGUUUUUCAUCCCAGUUGCAAAUCCACCCUCGACUUGGAAGUGCGUCCAUAGUUUGUUGUUCUUCCAACUACAAGUCCACCUCCGACUCGCAACUAGGACGUGUUUUGAUUUUCAUCUCGGUUGCAUGUCCACUCUUGAUUCGCAAUUGGGCCAGCGGUUUCUGUCUUUCAUCCUAAUUGUAAGUCCACCCUCGACUCGCAACUAGGCUUGCAGUUUCGUAGUGUCCUAGUUGCAAGUCCACCUUUCGAGUCAUAAUUGGGAUGUGUUUUGUUUUUCAUUCCACUUGCAAGUCCACCCUGACUCGCAACUAGGCCCAUAGUUUUAUUAUUGUCUGAGUUGCAAGUCGAUCCUUGACUCACAACUAGGCUCGUAGUUUCGUUGUUGUCUCAGUUGUAAGUCCACUUUGGACUCGCAACAAGGCUCAUAGUUAUCCGUGUUAUAAGCCAACCCCUCGACUCGUAACUAGGCAUGUAUUUUAUUUUUCAUCCUAAUUGCAUGUCCACCCUUGACUCGCAAUUGGAACGUAAUUUGUUUCAUCUAAGUUGCAAGUCCCUCUUCAACUCACAAUUGUGCUCAUUUAUUACUUAGUUGUAUUUUAAUUGUAAGUUCAUGCUCGACUCGCAACUGGACCCAUAGUUUGUUGCCGUUCUAGUUGCAAGCCCAUUCGACAACUCACAACUAGGCCCAUAGUUUUUUGUUGUCUGAGUUAUAAGUCCACCCUCGACUCACAACUAGGUUCAUUUCUUUCAUAGUUGUCUUAAUUGCAAGUCCAUGCUUGACUCGCAACUGGAAUCAUAGGUUGUUAUUGUCUCACUUGCAAGUCCACCAUUCGACUUGCAACUCGGUCCCUUUUUUUAUCCCUGUUGCAAAACAACUAUCGACUCACAACUUGCACCACAUUGUUUUAGGAACAACAUGUUUUAAAGUUCACAAACAUAUUUUAGAAAAUAUAGUUGCAUUUUUUGAAAGAUGUUUCCAAAUUGUUGGAAAUUUUAAAUUCAUGAACUUUUUGAAAUUGGUGAGGAGUUUUGUUUUUAAAAUCCAUGGAAUUUUUUGUCAUAACCAUGAACGGUUUUAAAUUUCAUGAUCUUUUUUUCAAAUUUGUGAAUAUUUUAAAAUAAAUAGUUCACCGUAUAGUAGAACAUGCUCAUUAACAUCUUUCUAAUUUGAAAAUAUUUAUCUAAAUUCGUGAACAUGUUUUGAUCAAACAUUGUCUUCAUUUAAUUAAUGUACAAAAUGGAUGGGUGGAAAAUGCAAAAACCAAAAGCCAAAUGGACAAAAAAAAAUCGUACGUAGCCUACUGGAAGCUAGCGAUCAGAUACAUAAUGGUAAGAAGAUAACGAUCAGCGCAAGAACGAAUAAAGCCAUGACAGCACUGUUCAAAGCUAGCGAUCAGAUUUUCUAUAUACGUAAAGCUAGCGAUCAGAUGUGUCAUACCAGUAAAACUUAAGUAGUGGCUUGACGUAUGGGCCAGCCCACCCAGCGUCAGCGAACGUGCGGGCAAGCUGAUUGUUUGUUUUGUGUUUUGACAAAUAUAAUCAAACAAACAAAACAAACAAUAAGUUCAAAAAAUAUAAUGAUUAAAUGAGAUGGUGGUAUGUGACAUUGUUAGAAGUGAGAUAUUAUCUCACAUCGAGAUGUGACAUAGUCGGGCCCUAGGUAAAUUUACCGGUUCCGGUAUCUACCUUUUUAUUUCCCCUUCCGAUUCCAGGAUACGAGGUUUAUACAGAGCAAUACGAGAUGAAUCCCCACGCCGAUGCCUUUUUCCCACACCGAACUAUCUUCCCCGUCUCAUCAGUUCCAUGGCGGCCGCUGGUCACCACUAGCUAUGGCCGCUAGAAGAUCUGCCUUCUUCACCAACGUCCGGCAUCGGAUCCAUCAUCUGCGGCCGGCACCUACAACUUGGGGGACACACAUAACACCGGCGGCGGCGCUGCUGUACCAUGAGGCCGGCGAGGAGCAAGGUCGGAUUAGGCAGGCGGCCGACGGAUCCAUUAUGGUGUGCAUUGGGGAUACCUGCUCCGACGAGGUUCAUCGAUCACACCCACCACAAGCCCGUCCACCGCCAUCCUUGCUGCCCUGACAGUCGUGCGUGUCAUUGGUGGCUCCAUGCAGCACGGGUCAGCGCGCAGAGUUGUCGCCAGAUCGGGUGACUCCAAGCCUAACCGCCACCGGGUCUAGUGAGUCAUGAAUCCCAUCUUCCCUAACCUCUCUCCAUAUGUACUUCAUGAUUUCGGUUUUAUUUUGCAUGAUUUGAACAUUCCUUGUUUCUCUACCAGAUCAUCGGCCUCCCCUACUCCUGCAAUUUCACAUAUUUGAAUGUUUGCGACAAAGAGCAUGUGUUAUUUUUUUUUGAAAGAGAACCAAGAGUGAAUCAAUUUCAGACCUCAAGUUACAUUUAUGCAUGUAGUUGAGUUGUGCAAGAUACAUGAAAUUUAAAGUGUGUUUGGAUCUUUUGCCCGUUCACCUCGCUAGGCAAGGCUAGCCUUGCGGACGGAGGCGAGCCAAAUCAGCUCGCUCGCUGCUAUGCAUAAAAAUAUGGAAACUAAAGGCAAGGAGGUGAGUUCGCCAAGGAACCAAACCAUCGGCUUCCUUGCUGGGCUGGGCGAGGCAAGCGCUUGCUUCAGAACCGAACAUGUCCUUAUAUUUUAAUGUGGUGUUGCAAGUUGAGAAAACAAUUAUGUAAAAUAUAUGAAAUUACUUUCCUUCAAAAUGAAAAAGGUGUGAUAGCUCCCGGGUGCUAGGCACCCUCUAUGAACAGUAAAAUCAAAAAAUAGAAAACAAAAUAAAAAAAAUCUGAAACUUUGCAGCAUCAACAAUGAUCAAACUUUGUAGGUUCCUACAAGUUUUCAUGUCAAAAUAUCAUGUAGAGAAAGAUGUACAAACAAGUUUUAGAUUACAGCUAAAAAGUGAUCAAAACUUCAAGCAUUGAAAUAUUUUCCGUGUGUAGAGCUCCUCGAAUAGUUUUUUGACAUGAAAACUUGCAAACACCUACAAACUUUCAUCAUCUUUGAUGUUGCAAAGUUUCAUAUUUUUUUAUUUUGUUUUCUAUUUCUUUUGAUUUUACUGUUUAUAGAGGGUGCCUAGGCACCCGGGAGCUGAAAAUGCACUCUCCUUAAAAAUAUGUAACUGAUAUUUCUCAUAUGUAUAAAUUGUUAUUUCAGUUUAAUCUAUACUGAACUAGUUGUUGAAAUAUAAAUUGAAAUUCCUUGUGUCGCUUUUCAAAUAAUCAAUUUCACUUUUUUUGAGGAAUAGAAAAUUGGAAUAGCUGAAAUCACCUUUUCAAGAAACGAUUUGAAAUGAUCAAUGACACUUUUUUGUUAUUUGACUGUGUGAAAUCAAGUUAAAUUUGUUUCUGAUAUUCCUUGAACUAGUGACAUAUUUUCCCUUGAAAAGUUGAAACUUUAUUAUUUCAGUCUGUGAUAGUCUUUUAUAUUUCUCGAAAUGAUUGAAAUGUUUUUUGAAAGAGUUCAAACGAUAUUUUAGUGAUAUAUGUAUUGAAAUAACUUUGUGUAGUUGAGCUAUUCAAAAUAUGUGAAACUGGUAUUUCAAUGACUUGUUGCAAGUUGUGAAACUAAUAUCUGUGAAAAUAUCUGAAAUUACUUCUCUGAAAUAUAUGAAACUCAAAGUGUUAAACAUCGGUUAAUUUGAAUAUGUGGAAUUAGAUAUUUUUGAUGACAAUAGUUUAUCAAACUAUAGAAAUCAGUAACCUGACAUGAUAGGGACUUUUUUUUUGUAAAUGCUUUUUUUAAGAAUAAAAUAGCAUUUAAAAUUUAUUAAUAGUAGUUUUCUUGUAAACGAAUGAAGUUUUAUUUAAAAUGAAUGGAAUAAGUUUUAAAAUUCAAAAAUAUUUUUAAAAGGUUUUAAAUCAAUUUUAAGUGAGAACGGUUGAUCCUUUGAAAAUAAGGAGUAUGUAUUUUGCAUGUGUGUGAAGUGAGACUUGCAUCGGGCGUAUGUGUGAAGCAAGAGCAUCUCCAACCGCGCCCCAGAAUGCCCUCCCAAACGCCCUUUUAAUCGCAGGCGCUGAAAAAAUCGCCCAGUCGCGCCGUGAGGACAUUGUUUUGCGUCGGAUUUGACCAAAACUAGCCUCGGCGGUCCCCGGCCGAACCCAGGCCCUCGGGGGGCGCUUGGGGGCGUCCGACGCUAUUUUUGCAUGCACAAACCCCCACCAGUCAGCUUCUCUCCUCUCUCGAUCCUCCCUUUUUUUCUGCUAGGCCCGCCAUAUGCAUGUAAAAAGGAAUCUUUCCUCUCUUUAUCUAUCUCUCUUGUGAGUGAUCGGCUGGGAAGGGGGCACGGCUCGGAACCCGUGCCCCUCAAGUGUUUUUUUCGCCGGUUGGCCCCCAGGCGGCGCUGUUUCAGCCCGUGGGGAAGCCUAACGGCUGGAGAUGCUCUAAGGGACAUGGCUUAAAUCAUGUGGGUGGGCACAGCUGGUCAAAUCACAUGGGUGGACCCAAGCUGGUGAAAUACAGUGGCUUAAAUGAGGAAGACAGUGGAAUACAAAAAUAUAACUUAUGACAACUUUUGAGGUGGCAAGAUUUUAUUGGUUGGGGAACCAUGGGUAGAUACAGGCUCCGGUAAAAGGAGCUUUGCGGACAUGCAUGCUACAAAGUUAUAGUGAUGACUAAUUUCUCAGAACUGCCCAUGCUUCCUUUUUUGGAGAACAGUUGUGUGAUGUGCUCAUUCAAUUUAGAUAUCAUCAUGCUCAUAUGCAUCAGAGUUUCAAUGUACCCAUGCUUAUAUGUGUGUAACAUUCAUUGUUGCAGGGGCGAAAGCUUCUAUAUAUGCCUUUGAGUAUCAAUUUCAUUUGUGUGUCAAUGAGCUAGCAACCAAUCUUUGUGCCUAGUUAGUUAUUCCCCACCAUGCUAUUAUUCAUUAUUACUAAUAUAUUUACAUUAUUUAGUUAGUGAGAGAUUGGAGGAUACCAGCAUUCCAGCGAUGCCUAGAGUGGAUUACUGCCCGGGAUAUAUAGCUUACUUGACAUGCCCUAGGCUCUUAGCAAUGAAAUAAAACCACAAUGGAAUGAUUAGAAGCUUUCCUUCUCAACUAAAAACAUGACCCAUGAGAAUGCUCCAUAGCUUGCAGUUUUUGUCCAACUCCUAAGAGCAUCUACACGCGAACCCCUCGUUUCAUCCUCAAAUGUUCGAAACACCCGUUCACCCAGUGUCCGGUCAAAAAAAAAAUGAUCCAAUCAGACACCUCAUUUCCCACUUAUACGUCCAGACUGACCGACACUCUUCAAACCCGUCUCAAAUAUGAAAACAAUAUGAGGUUGUCCGGUCACGUCUGGACAUGCCCGGGCACCUGGUCCACGCCAUAGCUAUCCUAUGUCAGUUCCAUAUGCAGCCACGAGUAAAUUACUCAAAACCACCACAAUUGUGGCAAGGGUACUUCAAAAUCAUCACUUUUGUCGAAGAUCACAAAAAACCACCACUUAUGCGUCAAGUGAGUAACAAAAUGCACUAAUUUGAAACUAAGCCGCGUUAAUAGCAAAACUUAUGGAUGGGACCCACAUGUCUGGGCUGACGUGGCGAAGUCUAGUCCUAGGCAAUGGUUGAUCUGCUCAAAUGGACGGGGGUCCCACUUGUCUACCUCAUACCUUCUUCUUCUUCCUC
rnacentral:lncRNA from 1 species